rnacentral:misc_RNA from 1 species
AAGUCGUAACAAGGUUUCCGUAGGUGAACCUGCGGAAGGAUCAUUAACACGUAUCCAACGUUAAACCCCCCUGUGAAUUUCAUCGCAGCUCUUGCAGAUGCCGGUAAGUUUGCAAUCCCUGGUAAAUCAGGGACCUCUAACACCGACAGCUGCAAUUCGAGCGCUUGUGCAAGUGGCCUGGUUUCCCCAAGCUGCCAGUGUCUGAAAGUGUCGCUGGUUGUGUAAGGAAAACGCUUUACGAUCACUGGAGGCCGACACGGCCGGUGACCGGGCUGCUGUGGCUAUAUGCCCCCUAUAUUUACCCCACUACCUGAACUUGGGUCGCAGGAAACUGCUUCCCCUUAAAUCUGAACAACUGUUAACAAUGGAUAUCUUGGUUCUC